rnacentral:rRNA from 1 species
UUGUUCCAGGAAAAGCCACUAAGCUUCAGCUACACACGACCGUACCGCAAACCGACACUGGUGCGCGAGAUGAGUAUUCUAAGGCGCUUGAGAGAACUCGGGAGAAGGAACUCGGCAAAUUGACACCGUAACUUCGGAAGAAGGUGUGCCCUAGUAGUGUGAAGUGAACAACGGAGCAUGAAUGGGUUGCAAAAAAUCGGUGGCUGCGACUGUUUAUUAAAAACACAGCACUCUGCAAACACGAAAGUGGACGUAUAGGGUGUGACGCCUGCCCGGUGCUGGAAGAUUAAAUGAUGGGGUGCAAGCUCUUGAUUGAAGUCCCAGUAAACGGCGGCCGUAACAAUAACGGUCCUAAGGUAGCGAAAUUCCUUGUCGGGUAAGUUCCGACCUGCACGAAUGGCGUAACGAUGGCCACACUGUCUCCUCCCGAGACUCAGCGAAGUUGAAAUGUUUGUGAUGAUGCAAUCUCCCCGCGGAAAGACGGAAAGACCCCAUGAACCUUUACUGUAGCUUUGUAUUGGACUUUGAACAGAUCUGUGUAGGAUAGGUGGGAGGCUUUGAAGCAGGGUCGCUAGAUCUUGUGGAGCCAACGUUGAAAUACCACCCUGGUGUGUUUGAGGUUCUAACCUAGGUCCAUUAUCUGGAUCGGGGACAGUGCAUGGUAGGCAGUUUGACUGGGGCGGUCUCCUCCCAAAGCGUAACGGAGGAGUUCGAAGGUACGCUAGUUACGGUCGGACAUCGUGACGAUAGUGCAAUGGCAUAAGCGUGCUUAACUGCGAGACUGACAAGUCGAGCAGAUGCGAAAGCAGGACAUAGUGAUCCGGUGGUUCUGUAUGGAAGGGCCAUCGCUCAACGGAUAAAAGGUACUCUGGGGAUAACAGGCUGAUACCGCCCAAGAGUUCAUAUCGACGGCGGUGUUUGGCACCUCGAUGUCGGCUCAUCUCAUCCUGGGGCUGUAGCCGGUCCCAAGGGUAUGGCUGUUCGCCAUUUAAAGAGGUACGUGAGCUGGGUUUAAAACGUCGUGAGACAGUUUGGUCCCUAUCUUCCGUGGGCGCUGCAGAUUUGAGGAAGCCUGCUCCUAGUACGAGAGGACCGGAGUGGACGCACCUCUGGUGUAUCGGUUGUCACGCCAGUGGCAUUGCCGAGUAGCUAUGUGCGGAAGAGAUAACCGCUGAAAGCAUCUAAGCGGGAAACUCGUUCCAAGAUGAGAUCUGCCGGGGCCUUGAGCCCCCUAAAGAGUCGUUCAAGACCAGGACGUUGAUAGGUCAGGUGUGGAAGCGCAGUAAUGCGUUAAGCUAACUGAUACUAAUUGCUCGUGCGGCUUGACCCU